rnacentral:rRNA from 1 species
GGUCAAGCAAUAAAGGGUUUACGGUGGAUGCCUUGGUGAAAGUUGCUGAUGAAGGACGUGGUAAGCUGCGAUAAGCCUCGUUUAGCUGCAAACAAGCAUUAAAACGGGGAUUUCCGAAUGGGGAAACCUAUUAGAAGUAAUGUUCUAAUACUUAUACUUGAAUUCAUAGAGUAUAAGGGACAACCGAGGGAAGUGAACCAUCUCAGUACCUCGAGGAAAAGAAAACAAAAGUGUGAUUCCGUAAGUAGUGGCGAGCGAACGCGGAAGAGCCUAAACUUUUUACAUGUAAGCCUAUACGCGUUGUGUAGAAAGGGUUAUAGGGUUUAAGAAGGACAAAGUAUAGCGAGUCCGAAGAAGGUUGUAUCUUAACUGAAUAGCACUGGAAAGGUUAGCCAAAGAAGGUGAAAGCCCUGUAAGUGAAAAGAUAUAACUAACUUUGUCUUAAAUUCCUGAGUAGGAUGGGACACGAGAAAUCCUGUCUGAAGUUGGGAGGACCAUCUUCCAAGGCUAAAUACAAACUUUCAACCGAUAGUGAACAAGUACUGUGAAGGAAAGGCGAAAAGAACUCCGAGAGGAGAGUGAAAUAGAACCUGAAACCGUAAACUUACAAGCGGUAGGAGCACUAUGCUUGAAGUUAGUUUACUAAUUUCAAGAAUGUGUGACUGCGUGCCUUUUGUAUAAUGAACCGGCGAGUUAUUGAAUGUUGCAAGGUUAAGUAUCUAAGGUAUGGAGCCGUAGCGAAAGCGAGUCUUAAAAGGGCGAUAAGUAGCAUUUAAUAGACCCGAAGCUGAGUGAUCUAUCCAUGGCCAGGGUGAAACGUAUGUAAAAGUACGUGGAGGUCCGAACCUGCGGGCGUUGAAAAGUCUUGGGAUGAGUUGUGGAUAGGAGUGAAAGGCUAAUCAAACUCAGUGAUAGCUGGUUCUCCCCGAAAUAGCUUUAGGGCUAGCCUCAUAAGUUUUGUGAUAGUGGUAGAGCACUGGAUGGCUUAGGGGUAUUAACCAUGCUUCCAAACCCAACCAAACUCCGAAUGCUGUCACAUUUAAUUAUGGGAGUCAGUCUAUGGGGGAUAAGCUUCAUAGACAAGAGGGAAACAGCCCAGACCAUUAGCUAAGGUCUCAAAAUUUGAACUAAGUGGUAAAGGCAGUAAAACUACAUAGACACCCAGGAUGUUGGCUUAGAAGCAGCUACCAUUUAAAGAGUGCGUAAUAGCUCACUGGACAAGCAGUUUUGCGCCGAAAAUAUAACGGGGCUCAAGUUCAAUACCGAAGCUAUGGAUUUUAAUAAUUAAUAAUUUUAAUAAUUAAUAAAUUAUUAAAAUGGUAGGGGAGCGUUCCAUAGUAGGUAGAAGGUAGACCGUAAGGACUACUGGACGAGAUGGAAGUGAGAAUGCCGGUAUGAGUAACGAAAAAACAGGUGAAAAACCUGUUCACCGAAAGUCUAAGGUUUCCGUGAGCAAGGUUAAUCCGCUCAGGGUAAGUCGGGCCUAAGUUGAGGCCGAAAGGCGUAGACGAUGGACAAUCGGUUAAAAUUCCGAUACCACCUUUAAUCGUUAUGAGCAAUGGGAUGACACAGGAGGAUAGGUCAGCCUGCUGUUGGAUUAGCAGGUUUAAACUCGUAGAGGAGCUUUUUAGGUAAAUCCGGAAAGCUAUUAACCUUGAGAAGUGAAGAGGAUCUUUCUUCGGAGAGAGAACUGAUUGAUUCCAAGCUGGCAAGAAAAGUCUCUAGCCAGAUUAAGGGUGCCCGUACCGUAAACCGACACAGGUAGACAAGGAGAAUAUCCUAAGGUGCUCGAGAGAACUCUCGUUAAGGAACUCGGCAAAUUAGCUCUGUAACUUCGGGAGAAAGAGUGCCCCGAGUAAGUGAGAAGAUUUACUCUUUAAGCUGAAAAGGGUUGCAGUGAAAUGGCCCAGGCGACUGUUUACUAAAAACACAGGUCUCUGCUAAGUCGUAAGACGAUGUAUAGGGGCUGACGCCUGCCCGGUGCUGGAAGGUUAAGAGGAGAAGUUAGCUCUUAGUUUUAAGGGCGAAGCCUUGAAUUGAAGCCCCAGUAAACGGCGGCCGUAACUAUAACGGUCCUAAGGUAGCGAAAUUCCUUGUCGGGUAAGUUCCGACCCGCAUGAAUGGCGUAACGAUCUGGGCGCUGUCUCAACGAGAGACUCGGUGAAAUUGUAGCAUGAGUGAAGAUGCUCAUUACCCACGACUAGACGGAAAGACCCCGUGAACCUUUACUAUAACCUGAGAUUGAAUUUGGAUGUGGUAUGUAGAGAAUAGGUGGGAGGCAGUGAAACCGGAUCGCUAGGUCCGUGGAGCCAAUCGUGGAAUACCACCCUUAGUAUAUCUAUAUUCUAACCUGCUCCUGUUUAUCCAGGAGAGAGACAGUCUUUGGUGGGUAGUUUGACUGGGGCGGUCACCUCCUAAAAAGUAACGGAGGUAUACAAAGGUUUCCUCAGUGUGUUUGGUAAUCACACAUAGAGCGUAAAGGUAUAAGGAAGCCUAACUGCGAGACAUACAAGUCAAGCAGGUGCGAAAGCAGGUCUUAGUGAUCCGGUGGUUCUGUAUGGAAAGGCCAUCGCUCAAUGGAUAAAAGGUACUCCGGGGAUAACAGGCUUAUCUCCCCCAAGAGUUCACAUCGACGGGGAGGUUUGGCACCUCGAUGUCGGCUCAUCGCAUCCUGGGGCUGAAGAAGGUCCCAAGGGUUUGUCUGUUCGCCAAUUAAAGCGGUACGUGAGCUGGGUUUAGAACGUCGUGAGACAGUUCGGUCCCUAUCUGUCGUGGGCGUUGGAUAUUUGAAGAGGAGCUGUCCAUAGUACGAGAGGACCUGGAUGGACAAACCUCUAGUGUACCAGUUGUCUCGCCAGAGGCAUUGCUGGGUAGCUAUGUUUGGAAUGGAUAACCGCUGAAAGCAUCUAAGUGGGAAGCCAACCUCAAGAUUAGAUAUCCCUCCACUUAAGUGGACUAAAGAUUACUGGAAGAUUACCAGUUUGAUAGGUUGCAGGUGUAAGUAUGGUAACAUAUUAAGCUGAGCAAUACUAAUAAAUCGUGAGGCUUGACCAU